GCCCUCUUGGGAGGCAUCCCAAGUCCUUUUAUUUUUAUUUUGCUGAUUUACUUUUACUUUCAUUACUUUUGUUUUUAUCUUGAAUCUCCCCAAAUUCAAUUUUUUGACAUUGUUGAAUUUUGUCCCUUGUAGAUGUAUUUUAAUGGAGGAAGGCUGGUGAACUGCUGGGGAGUAACCCUUAACUGAUAUUUUAUCCUUCAACUCUCCCAAAAU
rnacentral:misc_RNA from 1 species